rnacentral:rRNA from 1 species
UCUCCUGGGAAACGGGUGGUAAUGCCGGAUGCUCCAGUUGAUCGCAUGGUCUUCUGGGAAAGCUUUCGCGGUAUGGGAUGGGGUCGCGUCCUAUCAGCUUGACGGCGGGGUAACGGCCCACCGUGGCUUCGACGGGUAGCCGGCCUGAGAGGGCGACCGGCCACAUUGGGACUGAGAUACGGCCCAGACUCCUACGGGAGGCAGCAGUGGGGAAUAUUGCACAAUGGGCGCAAGCCUGAUGCAGCGACGCCGCGUGAGGGAUGGAGGCCUUCGGGUUGUAAACCUCUUUUAUCGGGGAGCAAGCGAGAGUGAGUUUACCCGUUGAAUAAGCACCGGCUAACUACGUGCCAGCAGCCGCGGUAAUACGUAGGGUGCAAGCGUUAUCCGGAAUUAUUGGGCGUAAAGGGCUCGUAGGCGGUUCGUCGCGUCCGGUGUGAAAGUCCAUCGCUUAACGGUGGAUCCGCGCCGGGUACGGGCGGGCUUGAGUGCGGUAGGGGAGACUGGAAUUCCCGGUGUAACGGUGGAAUGUGUAGAUAUCGGAAAGAACACCA